rnacentral:lncRNA from 9 species
GGGCACGCGGGGCGCUUCCCGGGGCUCUGUGCCUGCCGGGGUGACCACCCAGUACCCGGCCAGGGCGCCCUCGUCCUCCGGGAGAAGCAGGGCCAUUUCCGGGCGGCGAUCGCUCCAGAGCGCUUGGCAGCACCAGGCCUUCUUGCCGCGGCCCCGGCGCCCCCGGCCGCAGGCUUCCCUGGCCCCCGGCUUCUCCCAGAUCCGGGCGUCCACCAGCCCACACCUAGGGUCGGGGGUGGGGGGGCCCGGGCAGACCCCUCUCCGCAGGCCGGAGAGGAAGGGCCUCGGCUCCCCCUGUGUCCGGGACAGGGCGUCCUGGGUCUCCGUGGCAGGUGGGCCGCCCCCCUCUACCAGGACCCGGCCCUGCCGGCUGCCCCCGAGCCUGGGGCCCAGCUCCCUGGAGUCCGGUAGACUUGCCUCUAUUCUGGAAUGUGGAGUCUAAGUGGGCAAACCAUCUCUCCCACCAGCCCACGUCUUCCCAGGGAGACACACCCCUCUUCACCUGGCCGCUGGUCCCGAUGUGCUCUCUGGCAAAACAUCUACCCGGAGCAGGGGGGCCUGUAUUGCCCACUGCGAGGAAGGGCCACCAAAGCUGGUGGGAACCCCGCACCAGCCGAGCAGGGCGCCUCACCGGGGAGAGGACCGUCCCCCGGUCACAUGGCCUGGUGUGGGACAAUCUGAGCGAACCCCUUCCCGCCUCUGGUGUCAAAGCUUCGCUUGGCAGCUGUUCUUCCACCAGAGAAACUGUCUCCUGUGAGGCUUCUUAAGCAUCAGCAUCCCCGCCCUGAUGGCGGCCUGGACAGCGACGUCUGUCAGAGCCUCUGCAUUCACAGCCCCUCUCGUGGGCUCGGCAAAGAGCCUGGACAGAGUAAGGACUCUCUCUCCAAAGUGUGCUCUUGGCUGUGCUGGGAGGGGUGGCAGGGGGACCCCAUCUCCAGGAGGAGGCCUCCCACCGUACUGUGCUUCUCUCCCACCUUACAGACAGGCCGGCGAGCAGGGUCAGGGACGUGACGCCAUGGGGGCCUCCAUUCCUCCCCCACCUGGAGAGAGGGGGCCAGCGAUGAAGGUACCUGGACCGGGGGGUGGCCCCCACCCGGAGCAGAGGCUGCAGAGCCCCUGGGAGCCGAUGCCCCUGGGAUCUCCAGAUGGCUCCCCGUGGCUCCAGGUCCUUGGUGACACAGGCGCCGGCCAUGGCCGUGAGGAGGGGCCUCGAGAAGGGGACCGAGGGCACCCUGGCCCUCACCCCGGUGGGCAGCCCGCACCCUGCUCUGCUGCCCAACGGAUCGCCCGAUGUUUCCUGGGUAACUGUUUCAACCCAGCCUGUCUGCCUGGCACUCUGCACACCCAUGAAUGCCACUGCCUGGCUCCAGGCGGGCUUGCCUGUUUGGCCCCCACAGGCCAGCAGGUGAGGCCGGCACAGCCCGCUGCAUGGCUGCGUCUGAAGGCCGGGGUCCGGAGAGGGGGUGCCCAGCCCUCGAGGCCGUCCUCACGGCUGGCGGGCACUGCCAGUGGGGCAGUUGCACAGAGCAUGUGCCCCAACCCACGGUUUCACUUGGAAAUUGGAGGCUGUGCGGCCAGUGGGCUGGGCGUGCCUGCAGGCCUUUGCCCACCUGUGCUGUCUUGACGGCACUUGCCCAGUGCCCUGAUAGCAGAACCAGC